rnacentral:ribozyme from 1 species
AACGAGAAAAAAAAAAAAAAAUAAUAACCAUAAUUCGAGAUAGUAUCUCUGACGUUGGUUUUUCUUUCUCAUUCGUAGUUGAUUGUUGUGGUUUCUUCCAUUGGUCUUGGUCGUGCUUGGGAAAUAGUUGGAGUGAAAUUGUUGCAUUCUUUGAGGAAAGAAAAAGAAAAAGAGAAAUUUUUUUUUCUCUUGU